rnacentral:rRNA from 1 species
UACGGGGGGGGCAAGCGUUGUUCGGAAUUACUGGGCGUAAAGGGCUCGUAGGCGGCCAACUAAGUCAGACGUGAAAUCCCUCGGCUUAACCGGGGAACUGCGUCUGAUACUGGAUGGCUUGAGGUUGGGAGAGGGAUGCGGAAUUCCAGGUGUAGCGGUGAAAUGCGUAGAUAUCUGGAGGAACACCGGUGGCGAAGGCGGCGUCCUGGACUGGACCUGACGCUCAGGAGCGAAAGCGUGGGGAGCGAUCCGG